GUUACCUGCAAAGGGGAGUAACUUCUUCGCCGGUGGAUCGUCAUUACGAUGCGUGCAAAACCGCAUCCGGUCGCCGGGCAACCUUCGAGGUUGUAAGUGAGACCUUGCCGGAAGG
rnacentral:misc_RNA from 1 species